AUGGGUGCACGUUUGUCGGCUCCGCAGAGGGGGAUUUAUUUCCAAGUUGUGGGUCUCCUUGAGGGUGGGAAGCAUAAGUAUUCGCGCGGGUUGGUUAAGAGGCUUGUACGUUGGCUUUUUUUGUAUUUUCCCCACGUGUCCUCCGAAGAUGUUCUUUCAGUGUCAUUUUGGAAUUCGGUUGGGUCCAAAUUAACAGCUUUGGUAGUUCAGGGGGACAAAACAGCCGCCAAAUUAAUCCCUCUUUUCGUUCUAAUUCGGACCGCCCUAGUUGAAAAGAGGGAAAUGCAGAAGCAGCCAACGCAGCCUUCCCCAGUUUCUACAGUUUCCCCAAACCCCUGCUCCUCGUCCCUUGUCCCUAAGUUGGGGGAGACCUGCGGAGCAACCCAUAAAACGCAGGGCUCCGAAGUCGGCAGUAGUCUCCCUGGCUCCCCAAGCCUCCCUCAGAACCCUUGCCCCGGUAGCCCUGGCCAAGCUGCCGGAGCCCUUACCCAUUCUCCUACUUCCCCAGUUAAUAACUCCAAGUUUUCCCCUUUCCAAGUUCCAAAUCCCCAGUUUGAUAAAGUUAUUGAUCCCCAGUUUCUCUCCCAGAACCCUGAUUUCCUUACACUCCCUCAUUCCCGGUGUUCCCCUAAAUCUUCCCCUAAGUCUCCCCAUACCCUACCUGAUUCCCAAAAUGGCCCCCGAGGGACACAAGAUGGCAGAGACCGCAUGGUCAGACCCCUCCCUUGUGCUCCUUCUUCCCACAAUCCCUUCCUCCCCUCAAAGUCCAACCCCUUCCUCCCUAGCUCCUCCUUCCCUUCCUACCCUGACCCCUCCCACUUGCCCUCAGAUAGUUCCUCCUCGGGGGUGUGUCCCCAAACUGUUACCUCCCAAAACUCCACCCCUUCCGGCCGCCAUUCCUCCCUACAAUCCUCCCCCUCAGUCGGUCCUCCAGCCCCGCCUCUUCCGGCUUCUGGUUCCCACGCCCCUCCUCCCGGUUCCCACACCUCCCCUUCCGGUUCCCACGCCCCUCCCACCAGUUCCCACGCUUCGGGAACCGGAAGUGACAGGCCUGAGGACCAGAACCCGGAACAGGUUAUAAUUCCCUUUGCCGCACCGGUUAGUUUUAGAGGAAGGGGGGGGAGGUACCGAGAAUGGGAACCCUUCUCCUUCCAGACAAAGAGGGAGCUGUGCAAGGCUCAGAAGGAGUUCGGCAGGAGAAGUGAAUAUUUUAAAGGCUUGUUAAAGGCCACCUUCUCCGCGAACGAGAUGGUCCCCCACGAUUUAAAAGAGUUGUUUGCCUGCCUCCUUUCCCCAGCUGACUAUAGGUUGUGGAAACAGAGGUGGAAGAAAUCGUUGGAGGCCAUCCUUCCUGAGCUGCUGCGCAGCGAGGAGACCGCGGUUGACGCGGAUGAAAACCCCCUCUCAAUAGAUCACCUGUGCAGUGAAGGGAAUUGGGGAAAGCCAGAGGAACAAGCCAGGGUCUUACCCCGGUCUGUCCUAAUUAAAAUAACAGAGGCCGCUGAGAAGGCAUUUAACAUCUUGCCGGGGGGGGAACCCCUCACGAAUUUUUCUAACAUUAAACAAUCCCCCAAUGAACCCUUUAACAUCUUUAUCAACCGCCUGCAGGAACAAAUAGAGAGGCAGGUUGAUAAACCAGAGAUGCAAGAGGAGCUAAUUCUAGAAAUGGCCAAGGCUAAUUGUAAUGAUUUUUGCAAGCAAGUCAUUUUUAGCCUGCCUCUGUAUCCGCCGCCAACCUUGGAUGACCUCAUUGACGCCUGCGAAAAGAAGGUCCCGUUAAUGGGGGCGUCCAGGGUGCCACCACCACCGCAAGCGGCCAGGAGACCACCAACAGCUGCAGUGACCCAGCACCCACCAGGCCAACUACCACCACCAACUGGAAGGCCUCUGCAGUGUUACCGCUGUGGGCAGCUGGGACACAUGGCCCGGGAUUGCACUGCUAUACUUCCCUGCCCUGGACCUGCGAGGGGCAACAUGGGGGAAAAAGGGGGAGAGGGAGUUUUUAAUAAUAAAAAAAACUAG
ensembl:lncRNA